CAACGCCGCGUGAGUGAAGAAGGUUUUCGGAUCGUAAAGCUCUGUUGUAAGUCAAGAACGAGUGUGAGAGUGGAAAGUUCACACUGUGACGGUAGCUUACCAGAAAGGGACGGCUAACUACGUGCCAGCAGCCGCGGUAAUACGUGGGUCCCGAGCGUUGUCCGGAUUUAUUGGGCGUAAAGCGAGCGCAGGCGGUUUGAUAAGUCUGAAGUUAAAGGCUGUGGCUCAACCAUAGUUCGCUUUGGAAACUGUCAAACUUGAGUGCAGAAGGGGAGAGUGGAAUUCCAUGUGUAGCGGUGAAAUGCGUAGAUAUAUGGAGGAACACCGGUGGCGAAAGCGGCUCUCUGGUCUGUAACUGACGCUGAGGCUCGAAAGCGUGGGGAGCGAACAGGAUUAGAUACCCUGGUAGUCCACGCCGUAAACGAUGAGUGCUAGGUGUUGGGUCCUUUCCGGGAUUCAGUGCCGCAGCUAACGCAUUAAGCACUCCGCCUGGGGAGUACGACCGCAAGGUUGAAACUCAAAGGAAUUGACGGGGGCCCGCACAAGCGGUGGAGCAUGUGGUUUAAUUCGAAGCAACGCGAAGAACCUUACCAGGUCUUGACAUCCCGAUGCUAUUUCUAGAGAUA
rnacentral:rRNA from 1 species